CUGUGCCUAAGCCUUUGAGGUUUUAUGUUGAUAUGUGGAAGAAGUAUGGUGGAUAAAAAAGGUUUGGUGCAUUGAGGAUUGCGAGUUUAUGCAAGGUUCAGGUAAAAACCGCAAAUCAAGAAGAUAUGAUUUAAAUAGCCUAUUCUAAUAUAAGGAUUAGUAGCUAACACUAUGACGAAGAACCGCAAAUCAAGAAUAUAUGAUAUAAAUAGCCUAUUCUAAUAUAAGGAUUAGUGGCUAACUCUAGGACUUAAACCUGUAACCUAUUAAUCACAUAAAGAUAAUUUUGUUCUCCCUCUCUAAAGAAGUAUGUUGGACGAUAAGUCUAAAUUCUUUUGCAAGGCAUAUUGUUUUUGUUUGAUUUACUAUUAGGAAAUUAAAAACGAGAAAAGCAAAAACCAUAAAAUCGAUUCUUUUGGUUUGGUUUAUAUAUUUAGCAAACCGACAUGGUUAGUUGGGUUUAGUUUUAGGUAAAGAUCGAGUUAAACUGAACCGUGAACAUCCUAAAAUGUAACAACCAUUUUGUAUUUAUUAAAAAAAGAAAGAAUUACAACUCAUGUAAAGAAGUGAUGAUGCCGUCAUUUAGUAGGUGCUUUGUACUUUCUCAUGUUUUUGUACAUUGGGUGAAAAGGAAUUUCUGUGUCUAAUGCAUUAUGUGCCCCUGCCCUUAUGUGUAAGUUUAUGGUAAACCAUUUUGAGGAUGAAGCAACAUAAGGAUAUGCAUGAUUGCCCAUGGUUUAUAUCCUUGUGGAUUGGUUGAUUCAGGUUGGUGUAACUUCAAAGAAGUGUUAUGUGCAGGGAAUAAAUCAUACUUACCAUCUUUAUGAAUUAUUGAAGGUAUGGAAGCUUAAAUUACUUAUCUGAGGAAAUGGAAAAAGUCCCUAGUUUAAAGUUCAGCAAAGCAGAUAACUUGAAUUUAUUCUGUCAAAUCUAUGCUGGAGAAUAUAAAAAAAACCUGCCUAUUAUCAUUGUAUUAGCUAAGAUAGAUCUGUUCCAUCUUUACGGAAACAUCUCACGUAUCAUAAAGACAAGUUAAAAGAAAUAUCAACACAUUACAAUUUCAAGUUGCAAUUUAGUUAUAUAGAUACUCUUAAAAGUUGGGAGGACGCAGGAUACAUGCAAAGGACAGGGACUAGAACCUGCUUGUGUUCGGUGGACAAUUUGGAAAGAGAGAAACUCCAGAUGUUUUGAGAAUGUGGAGAAUGAAGUGCAGAAGAUUAAGUUAAACUUUAUUUUGCUGUUAAGCUUUUAAUCAGAUGUACACAAAUGAUAAUAAUACCAUUAUUGAUGUUUUAGACUCAAUAUAGAGAGUGUUAGUGAUAGAUAGAGUCUCUUGUAUAUAUGGUUUUAGUACUUCCUAAGUACUGUUUUUGCUACAUAUGAAAUAUAGAAAAGUUACCAGUUUCAAAAAAAAAAAGAAGUUGCAAUUUAGUUCCACCUCUACGUACAUAUAUUUGUUAAAACUCCACACAAGUGAUUAAUCACAUUGAGUCUCAAUAGAACUUACUAAGUACUAAUCUGUAAGAUUUCUAGGGAAUGGAACUUAGUUGAUUGCUUGUCAUUUCUCUGCUUAUCAAAUAUAAGGUGCAGGGCAUGGACUGUUGCUCCACUAGCAAUCAUGUGGGUUAUUUGGAGAGAAAGAAACAUAAGAGCUUUUGAAGGGAUAGAGAUGAAUUUUAUUCAGUUAAGAAGUAGCCUCUUUUCCCUUGUUUUCUUUUGGUGCAGCCAUGAAGCUCCUUGCUGUAUAGAAGAUUGGGUGUCUAUCG
rnacentral:lncRNA from 1 species